AGAUCUCGGCGCGCCCCUGAGGAGUUUCUGUGGGAAGAUUUUCUGUUUUCCAGGUUUCCCAAGGGAAACGAAGAAAGGGAGGAGGAUAAUCAAUGACUGAACCUCUAAUAGAUGUUGGACGACGUUAAAAAAAAAAUGUAUCGGCCCUACCCUCGAGGAUUUGACAAAUUAGACUGACCAGAGUAAUAAGAGAUACAGGCAGAAGAGGAGACAUAGACACACACAGAGGAGAAGAUGAUGUGAAAAGGGAGGCAGAGAUCACAGUGGUGUGGCUACAAGCCAAGAAAUACCGAAGCCAUCAGAAGUUGGAAGAGAUUUUCUUCCACCUCUGCCAUCUCUGAGACAGCAAGACCAACCUUUUUUCUUCCUCCUCCUCAGCCUACUCAACAUGAAGACAACAAAGAUGAAGACCUUUAUGAUGAUCCAUUUCCACUUAAUGAAUAGUAAAUACAUUUUAUCUUCCUUAUGAUGUUCUUAAUAACAUUUUUUCUCUAGCUUAGUUUACUGUAAGAAUACAGUAUAUAAUACAUAUAACAUGGAAUAUGUGUUAAUCAACUGUUUAUGUUAUCAGUAAGGCUUCUAGUCAACAGUAAGCUAUUAGUAGUUAAGUUUUUGAGGAAUCAAAAGUUAUACACGGAUUUUCUAUUGCACAUGGUGUCAGUGCUCCUAACCCCCACGUUGUUCAAGGGUCAACUGUAGCUAGAAAAGAGGAUUUUGAAUGUUCUCAUCACAAAGAAAUGAUCAUUGUUACAUCUGUGUAGUGUGGGAACAAGGAAAAAAAAGAAAUGAUAAUAGUUUGAUGUGAUGGAUAAGCUAAGUACCCUGAUUUGAUCAUAUACAGUGUAUACAUGUAUCAAAAUAUCAAAAUGUAUCCAAUAAAUAUGCACAAUUAUUAUGUGUCAAUUUAAAAUGAAAUAAAACUUUG
rnacentral:lncRNA from 1 species